AUUGAACGCUGGCGGCAGGCCUAACACAUGCAAGUCGAACGAGUGGCGGACGGGUGAGUAACGUCGGUGAAACUGCCUGAUGGAGGGGGAUAACUACUGGAAACGGUAGCUAAUACCGCAUACCAUCGGAUGAGCCCAGAUGGGAUUAGCUAGUAGGUGGGGUAAAGGCUCACCUAGGCGACGAUCCCUAGCUGGUCUGAGAGGAUGACCAGCCACCUGGGAACUGAGACACGGUCCAGAGUCCUACGGGAGGGAGCAGUGGGGAAUAUUGCGCAAUGGGCGCAAGCCUGAUGCAGCGAUGCCGCGUUUAUGAAGAAGGCCUUCGGGUUGUAAAGUACUUUCAGCGGGGAGGCGUUACCCGCAGAAGAAGCACCGGCUAACUCCGUGCCAGCCGCCGCGGUAAUUC
rnacentral:rRNA from 1 species